UGCUAUUUGAUAUCAUAUUUUGUUCCACACUGAAACCUGAGUUGGGGUUCUUGUGUAAGAAGCAUUCUUUUUGUUGUAGUCGGUGGAAUAACCCUAAAUACGAAUGCUCUUCCUUAGAAGUAACAACUACAUAAAAUACAAACAAUGUGUCACUGUAUAUGUACCCAGAUUGAUUUAGGUGAAGGAUUGAACUGCUGGAGAGGUGGUGAUCAGGCUCGACAGCAGCCCAACAAUUAGUCCACUGUUAUAUGUGCUUGGUUCCCCUUGCAUUGAGUUGUUCCUAGAAUCAACGUAUGUUUCAUUUAGGAAGGGCCCACCUACAAGUGCUCCAACAGCUACGUUGGGAUUGGGUUCCUCUAAAUCAAGCCAUUUCCAGCCAUCCUUGCAGCCGGUUGUUGCAUCAGCUGGGAUUGAAGCUCCCCUAUGGUGCACGUAUUGUGGGUAUUUGUCACCAUAUCCAACUAGAAAGCUCAUUUUCAGAGGAUUGUUGCCCAAGACGUAAUCAGCCUGGGACUUGGCAAGCGUCCGAAGAUCUGCUGGCUUGUAUGAUUCUCCAUUGCAUGAUAGGUUAGUGGUCUUCGAUGUAAGCAUGUAGUCACUAUAAAGAGUAGCUAAAAAUGCAGAAGCAACAGGAUGUUGUAAAGCGUU
rnacentral:misc_RNA from 1 species